GGAAUCCUUGGUAUAUAAAUAAAUGAGAACUACCCACGGUUUUGUUACCCCUCUCUGUGUCUCUCAAAAAAGUUGCAAUCUCUCUAACAUCACAGAUUCAUACAUACACGUCUCCAUAUACUCUCGCGGGUGUAUGUAUUAAUACAAUACAGAGAAUUGUUGGGUUCAGCUGAAAAAGAGGAAAGAAUGGAAGGAAUAAAGAAGAGCGGUUCCUCUCCUUCUUCUCCAUCUCUAACUUCUCAGCUUUUUGGGUCCAGAGAUAAUCCUCCUUCUUCUUCUUCCUCUGGGAUUUUCGGAUCCAUUUUUGCUCCUCCUUCUAAGGUGAUGGGACAAGAGACUGUGACUGGUGGCUGGAACGACAAGUCCUCCAAGGCUGGUGGUGAUGUUGAGAAAAACAGAUUAGAGUUUGGAUCAGUUUAUCAACAGGAACAACAAGAGAGAGUUCAACCUUGUCAUCUGAGCUCUUCCAUCUAUUACGGUGGCCCUGAUGUUUAUUUCCAGCCUCAGAGUCAGAAUUCCAGCGCCAACUCUGCUGCGCAGAAGAAGAAAGAGGGAGGCGAAGAUGAUUCCGGAAGUGCUUCCAGAGGAAAUUGGUGGCAAGGGUCUCUGUAUUACUAAGUGGAGAUCUUACUACUUGAGCCAGUGUGUUAUACUACAAAGGCAGCAAGGUACAUAGGAAGAAGAAAAAGAAUAGAGGUAGCAGUGGAUCUCAGUUGGUAUUAGUAAAAACUUCUCAUCUUAUUAUUACAAAAAAAGUAUUAAGAAGUUUGUAAGGUUAGAUGCAAAAGACCAGGAAAGCUUGUCUGGGGGGGGGUUUUGUCGUGGUUUUAGUGAUUAACCCGACCGGUUCAAGAUUUAACUUUCCGUAGAAUAUGAAUAAGACAGUGAUAUGGGUUUUGUAAGAAAACUCUAGUAAGUUUCAAGUUUCCAUGCAUAUAAAUAAAAUCAACUGCUGUUGGUUCUAAAGUUUCAUUGAAGGAAACAGUUGUUAUUUUGCUAUGUAUUUUUUGAGUGAUGGUGUAGUUGGUCUGGUUAAAUCGGUUUGGAUUGCUAUAAAGGUUGUUGUUUCCCGCUU